UACGUAGGGUGCGAGCGUUGUCCGGAUUUAUUGGGCGUAAAGAGCUCGUAGGCGGUUUGUCGCGUCGGGAGUGAAAACCUUGGGCUUAACUCAGGGCUUGCUUUCGAUACGGGCAGACUAGAGGUAUGCAGGGGAGAACGGAAUUCCUGGUGUAGCGGUGAAAUGCGCAGAUAUCAGGAGGAACACCGGUGGCGAAGGCGGGUCUCUGGGCAGUAACUGACGCUGAGGAGCGAAAGCGUGGGGAGCGAACAGG
rnacentral:rRNA from 1 species